UACGGAGGGUGCAAACGUUGCUCGGAAUCACUGGGCGUAAAGCGAGCGUAGGCGGCCAUGUAAGUCGGGUGUGAAAGCCCUCGGCUCAACCGAGGAAGUGCAUUCGAAACUGUAUGGCUCGAGUACUGGAGAGGGUAACGGAAUUCCCGGUGUAGAGGUGAAAUUCGUAGAUAUCGGGAGGAACACCAGAGGCGAAGGCGGUUACCUGGACAGAUACUGACGCUGAGGCUCGAAAGCGUGGGGAGCAAACAGG
rnacentral:rRNA from 1 species